rnacentral:tRNA from 1 species
AUCUAGUGGCUGAAAAUCAAGUAAUGAUCUCUUAAAUCAAUUUAUGGUAAAAUGAAAAUACCCUAGAUAAA